rnacentral:rRNA from 1 species
AUUGAACGCUGGCGGCAUGCCUUACACAUGCAAGUCGAACGGCAGCGCGGGAGCAAUCCUGGCGGCGAGUGGCGAACGGGUGAGUAAUAUAUCGGAACGUGCCCAUUAGUGGGGGAUAGCCCGGCGAAAGCCGGAUUAAUACCGCAUACGACCUGAGGGUGAAAGCGGGGGAUCGCAAGACCUCGCGCUAUUGGAGCGGCCGAUAUCAGAUUAGCUAGUUGGUGGGGUAAAGGCCUACCAAGGCAACGAUCUGUAGUUGGUCUGAGAGGGCGACCAGCCACACUGGGACUGAGAAACGGCCCAGACUCCUACGGGAGGCAGCAGUGGGGAAUUUUAGACAAUGGGCGCAAGCCUGAUCCAGCAAUGCCGCGUGCAGGAAGAAGGCCUUCGGGUUGUAAACUGCUUUUGUCAGGGAAGAAAUCCUUUGGGCUAAUACCUCGGAGGGAUGACGGUACCUGAAGAAUAAGCACCGGCUAACUACGUGCCAGCAGCCGCCGUAA